AAAAUCCGAUCACGCCUGAAACUUUGAGUAAUUUGAAAAAAACGUCGUGCGUAACGGAGAAUGUGAACAGUUGGAGCAAAAGAUGGAGCUCCACCCUGCCCCGUCUGUCGUCCUUUACCUGCCACUCCUGAUUGAUUAUUAAUAAAAUGUGUUGUUUUGAGGAAUCUGUGCUGCAGAUCCGCCAUGCUAAAAGGCUGUUGCCACACCUGGGCCUCUCCAUGAAUGAGCUAAAAUGCCCUUUUGGAAACAAUUUCACAUUUGUCAGAUAUGAAUCUGCUCAAAACUGUGAAAGUGGCUGGAUUGAAGAUUUCUUUUCAUAACAUUCGUGCUUUUUAUUCGAUUUAAUAAAAAGAAAAUCCACUUAGAUGAGGCGUUUUUUUCCCGUCACUCUCUGCUCUGAUCAAUGAUCAAUAAAUCCUUCCAUUUAAUUGGUUUAUUUAAGCUCAGGCUCAGCUGCAGGCCCGACCUGCUUUGGACCGGCGUUGAUUCGUUCAGGCUGAAUAUGCUAAUGAGGCAGGGGAGCCAAAGAAGAGAGGUGUCAAUUAAAUCACGCGCUCAUUCGCAGCCCCUUCAUCACAGCCGCUGCUACAUCUGUCUGAUAGCGGAGGGCUCGGAAUGACUGCAGGGAGGAGGCAGAGCCGAAAUCCCCCAGUUUCUACUCCCCUCUGUGUUUGUUCCACUCAGAAAAACUGAAUCAUGUGAGCAAAAUUCCUGUUUCUUUGUGUUGAAGCUGCUGGAGCAGCCAUGACACGUUCCUCCAAGCAUCCUCCAUGGCUUCUCUCUCUCUCUUUUGUUUUGUUUGUUGUAGGAGUUAAUGAUGCUCUCUCUGUAUGGAAAUCCCAUUUUCUUCAGCUGGGUCUGUCACUUUGACCACUGACCUCCAGUUUCUCAAGAUUGAGUCUUUUUGGUGCCUGACGCAUCUGCGCUCCUGUGGAUCCAGAGGGGUUUUAUCUUGUGCGCUACUGUCCCUCAUCCCAUCUGCCUGCAGCCUGGGAGCAGUUGUCAGGAAGCCAGCAGCCACCCGCCAUCCCACCCCUUACCCCUGAACGCAAAGCCCCGACUUGAUGAAUGAGGUGUUUUCGCAGAAAUGUCAAAGUGUGCUGCUCGGACACCCGGAGCCUGUGAGGAGAAGUGGCAGGACGCCGCGCUGUCUCCACGUUUAUCCAGACAGACAGAGGCCGCGCGCGCCUGCGGGACGGCUGUCAGCGGAGAUUUGUUUGGAUCCCCCAUUCUCUACUAUGUGAUGUGACAUCAAAGAGGGAUCAAGUGCAUUUCCACAGACUCCUGAAAUCUGUGGAAAACAGAGGCGGUGUUUUUGUUUCCAGGCCAGCGUCUCCAUCCUGUGGAGCCAGCCCUUCUCCGUGUGUUUUGUCUCAGGAGAGAAGGUCAGGCCUCCGUGUACACUCUGUGACUUUCCCCGAAUCAGCUGUUUGGAGCCUCCGCCUGACAGAAAACAGCCUUGGUCUGAGACAGCGUCACUGAUAGCAGAGCGGAGACGCUUCAGGGGUGAGUGGGUGGAGGAGCAGGAUGGCUGUUAGGGCACACGGCCGCCCCCGGCGGAUACUCUGGUCCAGGCGGAGCGCUGGAGCAGCUGGCAGACCUUGCAGGCCCACUCGUUUUCAAGGUCUGUGCAGGUCUCAGCUUCUUGUUGGGAAGAUAGAAAAGCGCAGAGUUUGGAGGCAAAACAAUCGUUCGAUUGUUACACCAUAACCUGAGGGAGGAGAUGUGGAAGAGGAGGACAGAACAGGUCUUACAGGCGUUUAAGUAAUGGGAGAUAUCCGCUGGUUGCUCUAAUUUCCUGAAACUGUGAGCACUGCCUAUCUGAGGAGGACACAAGAAUAAUAUAUAUAUUAUAGCUCAUCUGGCUGUGGUCUGGGUUAUUUGCCCAAAAGGAGCCACCUUUAGGCAAACUGGAAAAACGUCGCCUCCUCCAUUGUCACUCAGUCAGUGGAUGCAGGGAUGUUAUUUUCUGUCUGAUGACUUUCUCUCCUUAGGGGUUUUCAAUCACACCAACAAAUCCCUCCAUGCCAAAAAAAAGCUUAUUAAAUAUCACAAAAACAAUUUUAAAAAAAAUAAUAAUUUGAAAAGAAAUUACAUUUUAGAUACCA